UCAUUAUUUUUACAGUCUUAUUUCUUAUUCUUGAGUGAUUGUUUGAGUAUGCUUGUGUCUCACUAGAACUUGUCUUGGUUUCUCCCUCGAGGUCACAUAGUGUGCUUAAUAACUUUAAGAUGAUAGAAGGCCAUCUUUGCUAGCCUAUUUAUCCCAUAUUUGUCCUAUAUCUUUAUAUGAUCCUAGUUCAACCCCUUUGAGCCUUAUUUUUCCAUAUUCUUUGAUUUAGCUAUGGGUGAGAGCUUGGAAAUUGUUAAUAUGGAAUAGUUGGUUUGUGGAGAUGAAUGAUCAUGAGUUAUGUUUUUUGAUUUCAA
rnacentral:lncRNA from 1 species